CAGUAGCCGCGGGAAUACGAAGGGGGCUAGCGUUGCUCGGAAUGUCUGGGCGUAAAGGGCGCGUAGGCGGCGAUCAAAGUCAGGCGUGAAAUUCCUGGGCUCAACCUGGGGGCUGCGCUUGAUACUUGGUUGCUUGAGUGGGGAAGAGGGACGUGGAAUUGCCAGUGUAGAGGUGAAAUUCGUAGAUAUUGGGAAGAACACCGGUGGCGAAGGCGGCGACCUGGUCCUUGACUGACGCUGAGGCGCGAAAGCGUGGGGAGCAAACAGGAUUAGAUACCCCCGUAGUCCCUGUCUCUUAUAC
rnacentral:rRNA from 1 species